AUUGAACGCUGGCGGCAGGCCUAACACAUGCAAGUCGAGCGGAUGAAGGGAGCUUGCUCCUGGAUUCAGCGGCUGACGGGUGAGUAAUGCCUAGGAAUCUGCCUGGUAGUGGGGGAUAACGUCCGUAAACGGGCGCUAAUACCGCAUACGUCCUGAGGGAGAACGUGGGGGAUCUUCGGACCUCACGCUCUCAGAUGAUCCUAGGUCGGAUUAGCUAGUUGGUGGGGUAAAGGCCUGCCAAGGCGACGAUCCGUAACUGGUCUGAGAGGAUGAUCAGUCACACUGGAACUGAGACACGGUCCAGACUCCUACGGGAGGCAGCAGUGGGGAAUAUUGGACAAUGGGCGAAAGCCUGAUCCAGCCAUGCCGCGUGGGUGAAGAAGGUAUUCGGAUUGUAAAGCACUUUAAGUUGGGAGGAAGGGCAGUAAGUUAAUAACUUGCUGUUUUGACGUUACCAACAGAAUAAGCACCGGCUAACUUCGUG
rnacentral:rRNA from 1 species